AUUGAUAUAACUGUGUCAAAUGGUGAUUCCAUUCCUAGUUUUUUGAGUAAUCUCCAUACUGCUUUCCAGAGCAAUUGCACCAAUUUUCAGGCUCAUCAGCAAU
rnacentral:pre_miRNA from 1 species